rnacentral:rRNA from 2 species
UAGAUUGAAGGAGCUUGCUCCUCAUUGAUAAACAUUUGAGUGAGUGGCGGACGGGUGAGUAACACGUGGGUAACCUGCCCUAAAGUGGGGGAUAACAUUUGGAAACAGAUGCUAAUACCGCAUAAAACCUAACACCGCAUGGUGUAGGGUUGAAAGAUGGUUUCGGCUAUCACUUUAGGAUGGACCCGCGGUGCAUUAGUUAGUUGGUGAGGUAAAGGCUCACCAAGACCGUGAUGCAUAGCCGACCUGAGAGGGUAAUCGGCCACACUGGGACUGAGACACGGCCCAGGCUCCUACGGGAGGCAGCAGUAGGGAAUCUUCCACAAUGGACGAAAGUCUGAUGGAGCAACGCCGCGUGAGUGAAGAAGGUUUUCGGAUCGUAAAACUCUGUUGUUGGAGAAGAAUGUAUCUGAUAGUAACUGAUCAGGUAGUGACGGUAUCCAACCAGAAAGCCACGGCUAACUACGUGCCAGCAGCCNCNGUAAUACG